ACGGAGGAGGCAAGCGUUAUCCGGAAUUAUUGGGCGUAAAGAGUCCGUAGGUGGUCAUUCAAGUCUGCUGUUAAAGACAGAAGCUCAACUUCUGAUAGGCAGUGGAAACUGAAAGACUAGAGUAUGGUAGGGGUAGAGGGAAUUCCCAGUGUAGCGGUGAAAUGCGUAGAGAUUGGGAAGAACACCGGUGGCGAAAGCGCUCUACUGGGCCAAAACUGACACUGAGGGACGAAAGCUAGGGUAGCGAAAGGG
rnacentral:rRNA from 1 species